AUGCUUUCCACUGCAAAGGACAUUCCAUAAUAAUAAAAUGUAUUUGGAGACACUGUUGCAUUAUGGUGCUUCCAAUCAAUGCAAUUAUUUAAUGUAAAAAAAGCCAAAAUUUACUUUCCUGGGUCUCAGGAGGAUACAGGGCAGAUCAAACA